CGGGACGGGUGAGUAAUGUCGUGGGAAACUGCCUGAUGGAGGGGGAUAACUACUGGAAACGGUAGCUAAUACCGCAUAACGUCGCAAGACCAAAGAGGGGGACCUUCGGGCCUCUUGCCAUCGGAUGUGCCCAGAUGGGAUUAGCUAGUAGGUGGGGUAACGGCUCACCUAGGCGACGAUCCCUAGCUGGUCUGAGAGGAUGACCAGCCACACUGGAACUGAGACACGGCCCAG
rnacentral:rRNA from 1 species